GUCCAUUGCCUUGGAGGGAAAAGGCAGCACAAUAGUGUCACAGUAACAACUCUUCCUGUACCCUCUUCUCUGGUCUCAGAGCUCAGGACCUGAAGCCGUUUCACUUAUUACCGCCAGGAGGAGCUGUGACACCUUUAGCCGUGUUAGAGAAAGAAGGCUUUUAGAGGACUUGAGUUCUUGCUGAAGAAAAUGAUUGACCUGAAGAGCAGUGAACUCACCUCCUGUGCACAUUGAUUUCCACACCCACGUGUGCUUUGCACAGACUCCUUGGGCUCUAACCCGGCUGAUUUGCUACCGACCGUGGG